rnacentral:rRNA from 1 species
GACGAACGCUGGCGGCGUGCUUAACACAUGCAAGUCGAACGGAAAGGCCCUGCUUUUGUGGGGUGCUCGAGUGGCGAACGGGUGAGUAACACGUGAGUAACCUGCCCUUGACUUUGGGAUAACUUCAGGAAACUGGGGCUAAUACCGGAUAGGAGCUCCUGCUGCAUGGGGGGGGUUGGAAAGUUUCGGCGGUGGGGGAUGGACUCGCGGCUUAUCAGCUUGUUGGUGGGGUAGUGGCUUACCAAGGCUUUGACGGGUAGCCGGCCUGAGAGGGUGACCGGCCACAUUGGGACUGAGAUACGGCCCAGACUCCUACGGGAGGCAGUAGUGGGGAAUAUUGCACAAUGGGCGGAAGCCUGAUGCAGCAACGCCGCGUGCAGGAUGACGGCCUUCGGGUUGUAAACCGCUUUCGCCUGUGACGAAGCGUGAGUGACGGUAAUGGGUAAAGAAGCACCGGCUAACUACGUG